rnacentral:rRNA from 1 species
UACGUAGGGGCCUAGCGUUGUCCGGAUUUAUUGGGCGUAAAGAGCUCGUAGGCGGUUUGGUUAGUCAGGUGUGAAAUCUCCACGCUCAACGUGGAGGGGCCACCUGAUACUGCCAUGACUUGAGUCCGGUAGGGGAGUGUGGAAUUCCCGGUGUAGCGGUGAAAUGCGCAGAUAUCAGGAAGAACACCCGUGGCGAAGGCGGCUCUCUGGGACGGUACUGACGCUGAGACGCGAAAGCGUGGGGAGCGAACAGG